GACUUGUGGCUCAGGGAUAGAGCACUUGCCUGGCAUGUGUGAGGCCCUGGGUUCGAUCCUCAGCAACG
rnacentral:tRNA from 1 species